ACCGCGGUAUUCCAGUUGGUAGAGGCAUCGGCAGUACAGAUCCCGAAGGUCGCAGCGCAGGUUCAAAUCCUGCCUGCGGUG